GGAGGGAGGUCGGAUCCCGGGCUGUGUCCCGGCGCUCUGGGCUCCCGGGCCUGCGCUGUUGGAUUCGGGCUCCUGGCCGUGCAGCCGCCU
rfam:Canis lupus familiaris chromosome 8, whole genome shotgun sequence.